AUGUGGAGGUUUUCUUUCAUGUGGUCUUUUUUCCAAAUGGUGCAGCUAAGCAGGCCUUCCUCGGGCCUCAGCGAAAAAAUGAGAAAUUUGAGCAAAGCUCUACACUUAGAAAAGACAACAAAAGUACCCGAAUGUGUGCUCCUGCUCGCAAGGGCUUCAGUUCCUUGCAAGGUCCGGAAAGAAGCCGUGCCCCUCUCGAAGACGUUUGGUCGCGAUUCUUGGGCAUCGAUCGUUGCUGCUCCUGCUAGCUCUGUGGCCUCGGCGGAUAUCCCAGUGCGGCCUGCCUUGGAGAGGCAAGCCGAGUUGUUGUGCUCUGAGCUCCUUGAUAUGGCUUCCUUCCGGUUUGAGGAGACGGUCCAGCCUCUGCGUGAUGUCGUUGACUCCAUGCAAGGUUGGAUGUUGCGGAUGGAGAGCUUCAUGGAGCGAGUUGAGGCUGCACUAGGAGGGCUCUCCCUGGCGCCGCCUGUGUUGCAGAGUGCUCAUGUGUUGCGCCCUUUGAUUGUGCCUGAUGGCAGCUUCGAGGUCGAGAGGGGAGACGAGCUUCAUGGUUGUUUCUCCCCUCGUGCUAGAGCCAGCUCGCCGCCGUCGGCCUAUGAGGGUCCAGGCAAUGAUGUGGUUGUGACUCCGGUGCUGCAGAUCAUGCCUGAGCUUCGGGAGCUGUGUGGAGGCUCGGUUCUGCCUCUGUCCGUCGAACAACCGAAGGUAGACCCUCCUGAGAUCUCAAUUGUGGCUUUAUCGCCAGCGUCACCCCUGGAUUCUAGCCAGAUACUUGAUGCUGAGGAGUGUGGUGAUUUGGAUGUUUCAAUAUCUCCAUCUCCUAAGUCCAUUGGGUGUCAGGCGUCCACCAGUUUACCUCUUGGUGUCAUGGAGCAUGGAGUUCUAGAUGUUGCUGAUGUUCCCUCGUUUGCGACCAUGGAGCAGGUGAUGCCUGUGAGUGACAUGACCAUUGAGCCAAGUGUGUUGGCACCUACUCCAAAUCCAGAUGCUCUCUUCGCAAAGAAACUUUGUGACUUGCUCGCCAGUGUGGAGGUUGCUAGACCUGGUUUGGGCAAGUCGAUUGCUUGCCUCUUGACGGGGACACCAAUAAGGGGCAAACAAAAGAAGGUGGGCAAAGGAAAGAGUGGCGCCAUGGGCAAGGCGUCUCUCGCUGCUUGA
rnacentral:rRNA from 1 species